rnacentral:rRNA from 1 species
GACGCAGCAUGCCGCGUGAUGAGAAGGCCUUCGGGUUGUAAAGUUCUUUCGGUAGUGAGGAAGGUGGUUAGUUUAAUAGGCUAGCCAAUUGACGUUAACUACAGAAGAAGCACCGGCUAACUCCGUGCCAGCAGCCGCGGUAAUACGGAGGGUGCGAGCGUUAAUCGGAAUAACUGGGCGUAAAGGGCACGCAGGCGGACUUUUAAGUGAGGUGUGAAAGCCCCGGGCUUAACCUGGGAAUUGCAUUUCAGACUGGGAGUCUAGAGUACUUUAGGGAGGGGUAGAAUUCCACGUGUAGCGGUGAAAUGCGUAGAGAUGUGGAGGAAUACCGAAGGCGAAGGCAGCCCCUUGGGAAUGUACUGACGCUCAUGUGCGAAAGCGUGGGGAGCAAACA